UACGGGGGGUAAGCGUUGUUCGGAAUUACUGGGCGUAAAGGGCUCGUAGGCGGCCAACUAAGUCAGACGUGAAAUCCCUCAGCUUAACUGGGGACUGCGUCUGAUACUGGAUGGCUUGGAUUUGGGAGAGGAAUGCGGAAUUCCAGGUGUAGCGGUGAAAUGCGUAGAUAUCUGGAGGAACACCGGUGGCGAAGGCGGCAUUCUGGACCAAUAUUGACGCUGAGGAGGCGGAAAAGCCCAGGGG
rnacentral:rRNA from 1 species